AAGUACCUGGAUGUUAAGAUAACCAAACCAAUUGCUUCGUAUUUUUGUGCCAAUUAUAUAAAUUAAGAAGCAGUUCAAUCAAGAGUUUCGGAUGACUCACAGGCUCAGAUACUAAAACACCUUAGCAAUCACGUACCUCCUGGCUGUUUAAAAUGUGCUUCCUGGACCAGCAACAAUAGCAUCACCAGUUUUAGAGUUGCAGCAUCUCAGACCCCCUGGCCCUGCUGAAUCAGAAUCUGCAGUUUAACAAGAUCUGCAGUAUAUACAGUAAGGUUGAAAAUGAAUAAUCCAAAUUUAACUCUCAGUUUACAGAUAUGGAACCUGGGAUGAGGCAGAUGAAGAUCCUUGCCCAAAGUCAUACAUCCAGUAUCAGCAAUACAAACAUGGAUAAAAAUGAGUGCCUGCCAUCAAGAAGACUACAUUCUAUCAGAGGAGGUAGAGUAGCAACAAACUAGGUUGUGACAAAUGCUAAACCAUCAGCACGCACAAAGCGCCACCAAACCACAGAGAAGAAGCAAUUAAUUUUGCCUAGC